CCUACGGGAGGCAGCAGUGAGGAAUAUUGGUCAAUGGGCGAGAGCCUGAACCAGCCAAGUCGCGUGAGGGAGUACUGCCCUAUGGGUUGUAAACCUCUUUUGUCGGGGAGCAAAAGCCGGACGUGUCCGGCUGUGAGAGUACCCGAAGAAAAAGCAUCGGCUAACUCCGUGCCAGCAGCCGCGGUAAUACGGAGGAUGCGAGCGUUAUCCGGAUUUACUGGGGGUAAAGGGGGCGCAGUCGGCGAUGCAAGCCAGGAGUGAAAGCCCGGGGCCCAACCCCGGGACUGCUCUUGGAACUGCGUGGCUGGAGUGCAGGAGAGGCAGGCGGAAUUCCUGGUGUAGCGGUGAAAUGCGUAGAUAUCAGGAGGAACACCGGUGGCGAAGGCGGCCUGCUGGACUGCAACUGACGUUGAGGCCCGAAAGCGCGGGGAGCAAACAGGAUUAGAUACCCCAGUAGUC
rnacentral:rRNA from 1 species